rnacentral:rRNA from 1 species
CCUACGGUAGUCAGCAGUGAGGCAUAUUGGUCAAUGGGCGCGAGCCUGAACCAGCCAAGUCGCGUGAGGGAUGAAGGUUCUAUAGAUCUUAAACCUCUUUUAUAAGGGAAUAAAGUGUGGGACGUGUCCUAUAUUGUAUGUACCUUAUGAAUAAGGAUCGGCUAACUCCGUGCCAGCAGCCGCGGUAAUACGGAGGAUCCGAGCGUUAUCAGGAUUUAUUGGGUUUAAAGGGUGCGUAGGCGGACUUUUAAGUGUGCGGGUAAAGUAUGUGGCUCAACCAUAGAAUUGACGUUGAAACUGGGGGGCUUGAGUAUGUUUGAGGCAGGCUGAAUGCGUGGUGUAGCGGUGACAUGCUUAGAUAUCACGCAGAACCCCGAUUGCGACGGCAGCCUGCCAAGCCAUGACUGACGCUGAUGCACGAAAGCGUGGGGAUCAAACAGGAUUAGAUACCCCUGUAGUC